rnacentral:rRNA from 1 species
UACGAAGGGGGCUAGCGUUGUUCGGAAUCACUGGGCUUAAAGCGCGUGUAGGCGGUCCGGUAAGUCCGCUGUGAAAGUCGGGGGCUCAACCCUCGAAAGCCGGUGGAAACUGUCGGGCUAGAGUGCGGAAGAGGCGAGUGGAAUUCCUGGUGUAGCGGUGAAAUGCGCAGAUAUCAGGAGGAACACCAAUUGCGAAGGCAGCUCGCUGGGACGUUACUGACGCUGAGACGCGAAAGCGUGGGGAGCAAACAGG